AAUUAAUGACUGCCACAGCAAUUAGAAUUCUUUUGAUUCCCAUUUUUAUAAUGACAAAAUGUAAAUAUAACUUUGCAUUUCUUGCAGGAAGAAAGAAACAGAAGCUUGCCAAGGAGAGAGCUGGGCUUUCCAAGUUACCUGACCUUAAAGAUGCUGAAGCUGUUCAGAAGUUCUUCCUUGAAGAAAUACAGCUUGGUGAAGAGUUACUAGCUCAAGGUGAAUAUGAGAAGGGCGUAGACCAUCUGACAAAUGCAAUUGCUGUGUGUGGACAGCCACAGCAGUUACUGCAGGUCUUACAGCAAACUCUUCCACCACCAGUGUUCCAGAUGCUUCUGACUAAGCUCCCAACAAUUAGUCAGAGAAUU
rnacentral:sRNA from 1 species